UUUUAAGUUUUCAUCUUUCACUCCCUAUUGUAAAAAUAUUCUAGUAUGAUAUAAUAAAAACUUUGGUUUAAAGAUCUCUGUUCAAGAGUUUGACACAUGAAGCAAAAUGACGGCGGUUUUACUUGCUAAGGAAGAUAGUAGAAGGGAAAAAAGAAGAAUAAUUAGAGACUAUUUUUGCUAGAUUUUUUUUCUUUGACUUGUAUUAGUUACUUAGCUUCUUUUUGCUUUAAAAAAAUGGUUUGUAUAAAUAGUGUUGUUAUAUGUUUGUCAAUGCUUAUUAUUUGGUCCUUAGCAUUCUACCUUUUUUUUAAAAAUUAUGAAACACAAUUAAUAUAAUUAUCUACUUUAAACAACAAAAAUAUUAUGAUGAUUAGGAUUUUCAUUUUUAUUAUACUCACAAAAAGUAAUUGUAAAAUAGAAUAUUAAUUUUUUUACAUAUGUAACAAUAUAUUUUGUCGCUGUUCUUUUUUCGUUUGAAAUAUAUUUAUAAUGUUAAUGGAGUAACCGAUUAUUAUAUUUAUUUUUUUUGGUUUAUUUUUUUUAUUUCUAGCGUAUUAAUUCUGUUUUGAAGUGAAAAUUCAAGACCUGAAUUGUGAGUCACGGGCAAAGACUCCAACAGGACAUGACUUAUUUUGAUUUAUUCAUUUUACAAAUAAAAUCAAUGCAUAAUUAUCAAUG